rnacentral:rRNA from 1 species
UGGGGAAUCUUGCGCAAUGGGCGAAAGCCUGACGCAGCAACGCCGCGUGCGGGAAGAAGGCCUUCGGGUUGUAAACCGCUUUCAGCAGGAACGAAAAUGACGGUACCUGCAGAAGAAGGUGCGGCCAACUACGUGCCAGCAGCCGCGGUGACACGUAGGCACCAAGCGUUGUCCGGAUUUAUUGGGCGUAAAGAGCUCGUAGGCGGUUCAGUAAGUCGGGUGUGAAAACUCUGGGCUUAACCCAGAGCCGCCACCCGAUACUGCUGUGACUAGAGUCCGGUAGGGGAGUGGGGAAUUCCUAGUGUAGCGGUGAAAUGCGCAGAUAUUAGGAGGAACACCGGUGGCGAAGGCGCCACUCUGGGCCGGAACUGACGCUGAGGAGCGAAAGCGUGGGUAGCAAACAGG